rnacentral:rRNA from 1 species
AUGAUAAAGGGCAGGGCUCCUAUCAGACACAAAAUGGUGAAGAAAACCUUCGGCGAAGUUUUUGGAAAGAGUGAGUGGCCGACAACACUAACUUCUCUGAAAAGUAGUACAAUUUCAGCUGCUCGAUGGAUUUUUUUUGAGUGUGCCGGGGACACAUUGCAUUAUCAGCAACGUACCAAUGACAACAUUUGUACCUAUUAUCAAGUUCCAAUGAAUGGCGCCCUGAGAAGAUCUAUUCCAGGAUGCAUGAUCAGUGUUAAAGCUCAGAUUGAAAAAAUAGAAGAAUGUUAUCGUCUGAGAUGUGCAUUACUACCAUGGAGGCAUUCCUUCAUGCACCUGUUCCCUGUCAUAUCAAACAUCAGGAACACUGAAACAUAA